UUAUUUAUUCAGCUUCUUAAGUAUUUUAAAACGACAACAGUGAAAAUACGCUGGCGCUUUGAGAGACAGUCUCCCGCUUGCCUUUCCGCCAGGAUUUAUACCGUCUUUUGCAGGGGCAGUGUUGCCAAUUUAGCGACUUUUCAGACCCUUUUAGUUUUUUUUUUUUUUCUAAAAAGCACCUAGCAUCAAAUCUAGCGACUUUUUGUACAAAUCGAACGCUCGACCACUCCCCCGCCGCCACAGUGUCCUAUUCUGCUUAAUCAUACAGACAGGGGCUGUUCACAUCAAACCGGUUUUUGUGUCGUCUUUGUCCAUUAUGCUGUGUUUUUACAGCGUUUCGCUCAUGAGCAUGCUGUGUCAAGUUAAGAGAAUUGCAACUUUUAAAAACGUGCCUCAAGACACUGGCGUUCUGAUCCAUUUGAUUUGCUGCAUCUAUUGUAUUUCAAUUUUUAAAGUCCACAUUCAGUCUGAACAGCCCCAUAGUGGCACUGCAUAAUCUAAAUCAGGCCCAGGUGAUGUACAGUUGUGUCUUGUCUCUGGCAAAUAGCAUUUCAUUACAUUCAGGUUGCUCAAAGGAACUGUCAAUGGAUGAUUUCAGUAAGAAAAAGACGUAUACAUCCUGAGAACAUCAAAAUCCUACAUACUAGAGUAAAAUAUGAGAUAUUUAUAAAUGCUUUUUUAUGAACCUUGGCAAAGGAGAGGGAUUUUAUGUGGUAGGUGUUUCUUUAAUUUCAUUUUGCUCUUUUGUUUUUUGAUGUUAGGGCCACUGUGAGGAUCAUGCCACACUGCUUUGUAGUCUGCUUUUGGGUUUUGGGCUGGAUGCUUAUGUAUGUGUGGGCACCAAAUACAUUCCACACACCUGGGUCAUGACCUGCGGCGCAGAUGGCUCUGUUCCAUUUUGGGAAAGUUUCACUGCACACAGGAUCUCGGUCUAGCCACAGUCAUACCUGCUGUCGGAAGCACUCUUGGCAUUUGAACUCGAGCACUGUACUGGUGUGUCGUGGAAACGAGGAUGCUGUGAGAAGGGCGGUGCCGGAAAGACACACUUUUAAAGGCUUUUCUAUUCACAUCUUGCACCGCAGUGCAUGCAGGGCGUUUGCUACCUGCCUCAGGCGCUUUCUCACACACACAUAAACAUACUGAGCCACCUUUUAAUGUAUUUUCCCUUUUAAAUUCAAAGAAAUGGUUCAUCCAAAAAUGAAAACGCUGUCAUCAUUUACUCACCCCAAUCUAGGGCUGUUACUAUUGUGAAUUUGGCUGAUGAUUAAUUGUCAAACAAAUCAUUAAGAUUAUGACUAAUAAAUUGUCUGUUUUAGGGCUAUGACGAUUAUUUGUCAUGUAAAUUGUCAUAUUUCUUAAGGUGCAUGUGUGCUUCAUAAGCCUUAACAUGUCAUUUUUACAUAUUUAAAUUCAAAUAUAUACACCGAAUAAUAAAACAGGGGUAUAUAAUUUCCUUAUAAGGCUUUAAAAACGUAUAAAUGACAUGAGAAAUAAUGUUUAAAAUAUCAAAAUAUUUCUGAAUACUUAAAAUAUGUCUCUCGUUUUGGUCAGCUUUAUGUUUUAUAAAUGUUUUAUAUUGUAUUGUAUUAUUUUAUAUUAUAUUUAGGGCUGUCAAAUGAUAAAAAUAUUUGAUUGCGAUUAAUCGCAUAAUUUGAGGUAAUGAGGUAAAUAUAGGCAGGGAACUAAUAGUGAUCAGGUGCCGCUCGCUCAAAGAAAGUUGGAAUGAUCAGCGUUCCCAUGGAAAUAACAUUACGCAAGCCAGCGACACCUGAAUCAAUAGAGGAAACAUGUAAACACAAACUGGAACAAAUCAGUGGUAUAUUUUGAUAUUUAAAACAUUAUUUUUUAUGUUAUUCCUUAGUUUUUAAGCCUUAAAAGGAAAUCAUAUUUCCCUAUUUUAUUAUUUGAUUUAUAUAUUUGAAGUUAAAUAUGUUCAAAAUAAGGACUUAAGGUAUAUAAAACACACAUGCACCUUAAUCAACCGUGAAAGCCCUUAAUUAAUCAUCAAUUAAUCAUCAUAGCCCUAAAACAGACAAUUAAUCGUCAAAAAAAUUAAAAUAAAAUAAAAAAAUUGAGUUUGACAAUUAAUCGUCAGCCAAAUUUCAUAAUUGUGUCAGUCCUACUAAUGGGUGUGGAACAACAUGAGGGUGAGUACAUGAUGUCAGAAUUUUCAUUUUCUUGGUGAACUUUCUUUUAGCAAUGACAAAUAUACACAUACAGCCAAAAGCCUUUCUUUCCUUUUUCUUUUAAGUAGUGUUGUCUGUCUUUUUGUUUUCUUUUUUUAUCACUUAGGUCUCCGUUCUGUGAAGAGAUAGUUUGCUGUUGAGGGGCUCAUGUACAACUGGCAGUGAGGGUUCGUGUGUUUGCUUAUCCGGAGUCAGCCUGUGCUGUGUGGAUCAUGUUUGCUUGCAAGUACAGAUCCGUGCUGUGAUUGAGAGCAGCACCAGGUUUACACCACUCUCUUUAAACUAUCUGCAGUUUAGAGUUUUGGGAGUUUUGGAAUUACAAGAAUGCCAUUUAUUUCAUCUGCUAUAUGCUGGUCUUGUAUCUGCAGUACAGUUCUAUCUUCUUUAUAUGUAUAGAAUGUGUGUCAUUUGGAAACUGUUUAAAAAUAUUUAUAGAGAUAUUUUUCUAAGUAAAACACUCUUACAUUCCUUAUUUGUCCUUGUUAUCUCUUUCCUGUUGUUGAGUCAUUUAAUGUAUCAAUGCCUCAGUUAAUUGAAGGUUGUCAGUUGUUUAGGACUUUUGCAUGCAUUGCCUUUCAGAUUCCCUUCAUUCAGAUUUCCCACUUUCUUUAAUUCCAUUGCACCACAAAGAUUUUCAAAAUGAUUCUGUAUGCACAUCCAGGUAUGUUUUCUAUUUGCACAGAUCUAUUGUUGUUAAGUGCUUGUGGAUCUGGCAUUGGACAGUUUACAUGUUGUCUCCAUGCCAACUGAUGAUCUCAUGGGCUUGGCCAGAAAAACUUGUUAAUGCCAUUGUGGUGCAUGCAUUUUACAUCUGUAUCGUCCCUCUCCACAUUCAUAAUGAUAAAUGUCCAAGUGUGUGGGUCAUUUUCAUUUGCCACACCACACAGCUGUGUAAGAAUGUCUUCAGGAUGUAAUGCAGUGGGGAAUAUGUCUGAAUUACUUGUAAAAUAUUUCAAAAUGUAAAUGGGUAUUUUUGUUAAGGGUAGUCAAGAUAACACUUGUCAAGUGUUGCCCUCUAGAAAAUUAAGAAAAGGCGCAAUAGGGAAAUAGUUACAAGUAAGGUGAAAAAAAACAUUGCCAAGUAAAUGAAAUCAAACAGUCAAAUUCUAUUAAUUAGAAAGGUGGUUUCCAUAUACUUCAUACUUUUGACCACGAACUGUAGUGUAAACAGAUAUAGGCCUCAUAGUAAUGUUUAACUUUGGCCAGUAGAUGGCAAUAUACACUUGGCAACAAAACAAUUGCACAGUAUAGCCUCUACACCAGAUUAAAGGGAUAAUUCCCCUUAAAAAGGAAAAAUCUCUCUUCAUUUACUCACCCUCAUGCCAUAUAAUAAGUUGUCUAUAAUUAUAAGAAUCUAUAAAUUCUCCUCUCUGCCCAGUAGGUGGCAGUAUGCACUAAGAAUGUGAAUCGCCAAUAACAAAAGAAGAAUGUAAAAGUGAAAGUGGAGAUUUAAAGUAAAUAGGACUUAUUGAUCUUGUUCUCACCCACACCUAUCAUAUUGCUUCAGAAGACAUGAAUUUAACCACUGGAGUCUUGGGGAUUAUUUAUAUGCUGCCUUUGUGCUAUUUGGAGCUUCAAAGUUCUGGCCUAACUGUUCACUUGCAUUGUUUGGCCCUACAGAGCUGAGAUAUUCUUCUAAAAAUCUUCAUUUGUGUUCUGCAGAAGAAAGAAAGCCAUACACAUCUUGGAUGGCAUGAGGGUGCAAUUGUCUAAUGGGUCUGCAGGGACAGGCACGUCAUCUCAUCAGACCAGUGACAACGACACGCACACCGCUAACACCGUGCUGACAAGAAUGGCUGUUGAUUAUCUGAGAAGUUUGACUUGAUGUGUUGUUUUGGAAACCACAUUUUUCAGACUCUGUGUUGUUAAUUGAUAGAAUUGUUUUUAACCUGCUGGAGUCCUAGUGUAAUUUUCCUUUGCUUCUUUUACUUAUCUACUAUGCAAGUUUUCUUAGUUCUCAAUUAAAAUUAUGAUUUUAAAAUAAGUAACAAGUAACAAUUUAAUAUAAUGUCAUUUUUAUUUUUUGAAUAAACACACACACACACACACAAUAUUUAAGUCAAAUGAAGCCUUACAUAUUGCAUUAAUAUUUUACUUUUUUAUUUUUAUUAACCACGUUAGCUCAUUCACAGUAUCAUUUACAAAUAUGAAGAAUGCUCAAAAAUAUGAUGAUGAAACAUGAAUAUUAACAAUGGAGUAAAAAUUGUGCCAGUUUGUAAUUGCGCAGCAUGCAUUAUCCAAUUACAAACACUGUAAAUUGCAAAUGAGAUGCUUCAGAGUACAAAAGCGUAGUGCAUAAAAGGUAAAAUGGCUUCAACAUGUCUAAUUCAAGAAAGACCUGCCACUUUUUUGAUGAAACAAAUACCUGUAACACCUUUUUUGUCAUUAAUGAAA